GGGCUCGGCCGUCUCACUCCGGCUCCUGCGUCUGCUGAUUUCCUCUCCUCUCUUCCAUCCUGCUCCUUGGCGGGCAGCAUCCGGAAGGACUCA